GAGCGAGUAUGGCGUUAACAUUCGUAGCUCUUGUAACGUGCUGUCUCUUCGGGGCUUCCUUCGCCGGCACAUACGAUGAAUCCGAAGGAGGUUACAAGGACAUCUGGAGGGCAAUAACAGAAUCAGACAAGUAUUUCGUUAUCAAGCGCAAUUACAGUCACGGCAGGCUCGAAUGCGACUUUAUGAAGGUGGUCAACAAGGAUAUCAAAAAUCGUCGCCUCGACGCAGUUUUCGGCUACCGUAAUGAAACCGCUAGAACAUACAAUCUGAAUAACAUGCAAGUGACUACAUCAAAAAAUGGGUUGUCGCCAUUCGACAAUAUGAUGACCAUCAGAAGAGCAAAUUCA